UACGUAGGGGGCAAGCGUUAUCCGGAUUCACUGGGCGUAAAGGGAGCGCAGGCGGCACGGCAAGUCUGGUGUGAAAGCCCGGGGCCCAACCCCGGGACUGCAUUGGAAACUGCCGGGCUGGAGUGCCGGAGGGGUAAGCGGAAUUCCUGGUGUAGCGAUGAAAUGCGCAGAUAUCAGGAAGAACACCGGUGGCGUAGGCGGCUUACUGGACGGCAACUGACGCUGAGGCUCGAAAGCGUGGGGAGCGAACAGG
rnacentral:rRNA from 1 species